rfam:TPA: Bos taurus chromosome 5, whole genome shotgun sequence.
UCCCUGGUGGCUCAGAGGAUUAAGCGUCUGCCUGCAAUGCAGGAGACCUGGGUUUGAUCCCUGGGUUGGGAA